AGCAUAUCAAUAAGCGGAGGAAAAGAAACUAACAAGGAUUCCCCUAGUAACGGCGAGUGAAGCGGGAAAAGCUCAAAUUUGAAAUCUGGUAGCCUCAGGCUGCCCGAGUUGUAAUCUAUAGAAACGUUUUCCGCGCUGGCCCAUGUACAAGUCUCCUGGAAUGGAGCGUCAUAGAGGGUGAGAAUCCCGUCCUUGACAUGGACUACCAGUGCUUUGUGAUACGUUUUCAAAGAGUCGAGUUGUUUGGGAAUGCAGCUCAAAAUGGGUGGUAAAUUCCAUCUAAAGCUAAAUAUUGGCGAGAGACCGAUAGCGAACAAGUACCGUGAGGGAAAGAUGAAAAGCACUUUGGAAAGAGAGUUAAACAGUAUGUGAAAUUGUUGAAAGGGAAACGAUUGAAGUCAGUCAUGUCUAUUGGACUCAGCCGGUUCUGCCGGUGUACUUCCUUUAGAUGGGGUCAACAUCAGUUUUGAUCGCUGGAAAAGGGCAGGAGGAAUGUAGCACUCUCGGGUGAACUUAUAGCCUCCUGUCGUAUACAGUGGUUGGGACUGAGGAACGCAGCAUGCCUUUAUGGCCGGGGUUCGCCCACGUACAUGCUUAGGAUGUUGACAUAAUGGCUUUAAACGACCCGUCU
rnacentral:rRNA from 1 species